UCCUUCGUGGUCCAAUGGCUAGGAUAGCUCGCUUUCACUUCGUACGUGGCCCGAGCCGGCCCGGGUUCGAUUCCCGGCGAGGGAA